UUGAGCCGUAUGCGGUGAAAGUCGCAAGUACGGUUCUUAGAAGAGGCGGAGGGAGUAAUCUCUCCUCUUUAUUCGAC
rnacentral:ncRNA from 1 species